rnacentral:lncRNA from 1 species
GUGGAACACAAGCAAGCUUAGAUGCCGUUCGAUUUAGGUACAAGGAAGCAUUAAAUGAGUUGGAUGUGAUGAAUAGGGAGUAUAGAGAGGCUACAGCAAACUUGAAGGAGCGGUUGGCUUUUUAUGCAAAGGAAGUGCUCAACCUCAAGAAGGAACUCUCGGGCCAACGGAAGUGAGUAUUAGAUAAUCCGUUUGUAUAUUCAAUCUUUUCUAUAUGGGUGGUGAAAAGCUUAAAAUGUUGUAUUUUACCUCCUUACCCUUUGUAACACAGUAUCUUGUUGUACAUUAUCUGAAAAUAAACUAUGGUGGCACCAAAGUUUAUCAAAACAUUUGUCUAUCUAAAUUGCAUGAUUUUUUAGUGCAAAAAAGGGCUCUUCAAAUGAAAUAGAUUUUACUUGUAGAACUUGUUGCUCCAUGGUUGUACCUUUGCAUUUUUUUUCAGUCAUUUCAAGUCUUUUAGUAUAUGGAUGUGCAAGUAUUUACAACGGGAUAGUGCUCUUUUUCAUUUCUCACUUGACAUGUUCAUUAACCAAAGCAGCGAAUUCGAAACGCAAAAUCUGCUAAAAAGAACAAAUGGUCAUCUAAUCAUGUGGAUGAGAAUUCCAAUUAAGACUUUUCAAAGUGGUCUUUAGUUCAUAUGCUAAUAUUCUCAAUUAAAAGGUUUCACAUGUAAUGGCAAAAAUGUAUUAAUUGGAUGGUAUCACAAAAUUGACACGUUUAUAUUACAUUCCAUUUGUCAGCCACGGCCUCACAAAUCUUUGAAAUACACCAGGCAGCACUCAAUGGAUAUCCAGAAACUGCGAAAAACAGAAAUAAUGACAGUCAAGAUGUUGCUCCAAAUACAAAUCACAUCAAUGACAAUCGUUAAUGUUAAAAUAACUGAUUAGAAUUUGAUAAUGAUACAAAAAUACAUCACCAUAUCAAACCAUAUUAUACUUAAAAUAAAAGCACACACACACUUUUGUUAUUAAUGCACUUUGAAAUUUGCCAAUCCUUAUUGCUUGAACUAGAGAGAAAUAAAUUGAUCUUGCUAACAUAGGAUGAAGUGGAGAACAAUAUAUUGAAGGCAAAACUUCGAAUGAGGCUUCGUGGAACACAAGCAAGCUUAGAUGCCGUUCGAUUUAGGUACAAGGAAGCAUUAAAUGAGUUGGAUGUGAUGAAUAGGGAGUAUAGAGAGGCUACAGCAAACUUGAAGGAGCGGUUGGCUUUUUAUGCAAAGGAAGUGCUCAACCUCAAGAAGGAACUCUCGGGCCAACGGAAGUGAGUAUUAGAUAAUCCGUUUGUAUAUUCAAUCUUUUCUAUAUGGGUGGUGAAAAGCUUAAAAUGUUGUAUUUUACCUCCUUACCCUUUGUAACACAGUAUCUUGUUGUACAUUAUCUGAAAAUAAACUAUGGUGGCACCAAAGUUUAUCAAAACAUUUGUCUAUCUAAAUUGCAUGAUUUUUUAGUGCAAAAAAGGGCUCUUCAAAUGAAAUAGAUUUUACUUGUAGAACUUGUUGCUCC